GACGAACGCUGGCGGCGUGCUUUAUACAUGCAAGUCGAACGAUGAAGUUCCUUCGGGAAUGGAUUAGUGGCGAACGGGUGAGGAACACGUGAGAAACCUGCCUUUCAUUCUGGUAUAACACCGGGAACCCGGUGCUAAUACCGGAUACUCCGUCAUGGCGGCAUCGCCGAGCCCGGAAAAAAUUUUGAUGAAAGAUGGUCUCGCGGCCUAUCAGCUAGUUGGUGAGGUAAAGGCCCACCAAGGCGACGACGGGUAGCCGGCCUGAGAGGGCGACCGGCCACACUGGGACUGAGACACGGCCCAGACUCCUACGGGAGGCAGCAGUAGGGAAUAUUGGGCAAUGGGCGCAAGCCUGACCCAGCGACGCCGCGUGAGGGAUGAAGGUCUUCGGAUUGUAAACCUCUUUCAGUAGGGAAGAAGCGAAAGUGACGGUACCUAAAGAAGAAGCACCGGCUAACUAUGUGCCAGCAGCCGCAGUAA
rnacentral:rRNA from 1 species